CUUUUGCAGAUAGAUUGCGUCUACCCUAAUCAAACUGAACACUAAUAGUUGCUAUCUGCCAACAACUACAAAGCAUGUUUUGUGGGAUUUACUGUGGCCUUUCUCAGAGGAAGAAGGUCAUGGACAUUAAAGACCUCAAGUCCUGUGGCUAAAUCAGUGUUGUUCAUCUCCUGAAUUCCUUUAAUUGCUUGCUUCUACUGGAGUCAAAUAGGCUACUAUGCCUUUGGCUCUGGUGAACUGUGGAUCUUUACUCAUUCUUGGUUGAAAUAAGAUGAAAUUGGGCAACAUGCACUAACAGCGUUGCUCAGUGGUUUGCACUCAUUGCAAAAUGUGCCAAAACAUGUUAUUGUUCUAGAAAUGGAGAUCUAAGACCUACUCCUUUUGCCUGGUUUCUGUUGCACAACCAAGAGCCUGCUCAGUGAUUUCUUCUGACCUCAGUGGGGGAUCUUAGGGCUGGAGUGGGCUGAGAGACAGAGUCUUCAUAAUCACUCUUGAGCAUUGCAGGAUGAAAAGAUUAAAGAGAUUAAAAAUAGUUUACGUGGUAGAAAAAUGCCUUACUCAUCAAGAUUGAAAAGCUUCCCUGGUCAGGUUGGUUCUUGUGAAGUUGUUUACAAGUGAAACUGAUGUGAAAGGUCCUAUAGACCUUAGGGCUUUGCAGUUCAGGCUCUUCAUGUGGUGUGGGGCAUCUAAUUCCUUGCCAGACUUGCUUUGAAGAGAUUUUGAAUUAUCUUGACUGUGGGUUGGGGUAUGUUUAGGGCUCCCUGUCUUGCUUCAUAUGGCUUUAUUUAUGUAAAAAGAAAAUCCUGUUGCUGUUGAAGGCAAUGUCCAUAGUGGUGUAGACAUCUCUUACCCAUUUCUUAAUCUGAGGUGGCCAACUCAGUUUAUAUUACCUGUGUAGCUACUAAGUUUCAGCUCAGGAUGGUAAUAUGUGUUCCAGACAAUAAAGAAACCAGAGGCUAAAACUGCACUGCUGUUUUGCAGUCCUAAGUGAUGAAUGUACUUACAAUGCAAUAAGGGAUUAAAGCAUUGAUAGUCU
rnacentral:lncRNA from 7 species